GAUGAACGCUGGCGGCGUGCUUAACACAUGCAAGUCGAACGGAAAGACGCUGCUUUUGUGGGUUUCUCGAUUGGCGAACGGGUGAGUGAAACGUGAGUAACCUGCCCUUGACUUUGUGAUAACUUCACGAAACUGGGGCUAAUACCGCAUAGGAGAUCCUGCUGCAUGGGGGGGGUUGGAAAGUGUCGGCGUUUGGGGAUGGACUCGCGGCGUAUCAGCUUGUUGGUGGGGUAGUGGGUUACCAAGGCUUUGACGGGUAUCCGACGUGAGAGGGGGACCGGCGGCACGGGAGGUGGAACAGCCACCUGGGUACUGCGGUACGGAGCAGUAUCGAACGGGAGGCAGCAGUGGGGAGCCUGGCACAACGGGGCGGCGCCUGAUGAAGAGACCCUGGGAGCGGAAAGCCGUCUUACGGGUUGAAAACAGCUUUGUACGGAGACGAAGAGUGAGUGACGGUAAUGGGUAAAAAAGCAACGGCUAACUACGUG
rnacentral:rRNA from 1 species